rnacentral:rRNA from 1 species
UCAGGUAGAGAAUACCAAGGCGCUUGAGAGAACUCGGGUGAAGGAACUAGGCAAAAUGGUACCGUAACUUCGGGAGAAGGUACGCCGGCUUUGGUGAUGGGACUUGCUCCCUAAGCUGAGGCUGGUCGAAGUGACCAGGUGGCUGCGACUGUUUAUUAAAAACACAGCACUCUGCAAACACGUAAGUGGACGUAUAGGGUGUGACUCCUGCCCGGUGCUUGAAGGUUAAUUGAUGAGGUUAGCGCUUGCGCGAAGCUUUUGAUCGAAGCCCAAGUAAACGGCGGCCGUAACUAUAACGGUCCUAAGGUAGCGAAAUUCCUUGUCGGGUAAGUUCCGACCUGCACGAAUGGCGUAACGACGGCCACACUGUCUCCACCCGAGACUCAGUGAAAUUGAAAUCGCUGUUAAGAUGCAGUGUAUCCGCGGCUAGACGGAAAGACCCCGUGAACCUUUACUAUAGCUUCACAGUGAACUUUGAACCUAUUUGUGUAGGAUAGGUGGGAGGCUUUGAAACUGGGACGCUAGUCUCAGUGGAGCCAAACUUGAAAUACCACCCUGGUAUGUUUGAGGUUCUAACUCAGGUCCGUAAUCCGGAUCGAGGACACUGUGUGGUGGGUAGUUUGACUGGGGCGGUCUCCUCCCAAAGAGUAACGGAGGAGCACGAAGGUAUGCUAAUCAUGGUCGGAAAUCAUGAGGUUAGUGCAAUGGCAUAAGCAUGCUUAACUGCGAGACAGACACGUCGAGCAGAUACGAAAGUAGGUCAUAGUGAUCCGGUGGUUCUGAAUGGAAGGGCCAUCGCUCAACGGAUAAAAGGUACUCCGGGGAUAACAGGCUGAUACCGCCCAAGAGUUCACAUCGACGGCGGUGUUUGGCACCUCGAUGUCGGCUCAUCACAUCCUGGGGCUGAAGCCGGUCCCAAGGGUAUGGCUGUUCGCCAUUUAAAGUGGUACGCGAGCUGGGUUUAGAACGUCGUGAGACAGUUCGGUCCCUAUCUGCCGUGGACGUUUGAGAUUUGAGAAGAGUUGCUCCUAGUACGAGAGGACCGGAGUGAACGAACCUCUGGUGUUCCGGUUGUCACGCCAGUGGCAUUGCCGGGUAGCUACGUUCGGACAGGAUAACCGCUGAAAGCAUCUAAGCGGGAAGCCCCCUUCAAGAUGAGAUCUCACAGGACUUUAAGUCCCUAAAGAGCCGUUCAAGACUAGGACGUUGAUAGGUUGGGUGUGUAAGCACGGUAACGUGUUGAGCUAACCAAUACUAAUUGCUCGUGAGGCUUGACCAU